GAUGAACGCUAGCUACAGGCUUAACACAUGCAAGUCGAGGGGAAACGAUAGAGAAAGCUUGCUUUUUCUAGGCGUCGACCGGCGCACGGGUGAGUAACGCGUAUCCAACCUGCCCAUCACUUGGGGAUAACCUUGCGAAAGUAAGACUAAUACCCAAUGACGUCUCUAGAAGACAUCUGAAGGAGAUUAAAGAUUUAUCGGUGAUGGAUGGGGAUGCGUCUGAUUAGCUUGUUGGCGGGGUAACGGCCCACCAAGGCGACGAUCAGUAGGGGUUCUGAGAGGAAGGCCCCCCACAUUGGAACUGAGACACGGUCCAAACUCCUACGGGAGGCAGCAGUGAGGAAUAUUGGUCAAUGGACGAGAGUCUGAACCAGCCAAGUAGCGUGCAGGAUGACGGCCCUAUGGGUUGUAAACUGCUUUUANAAGGGAAUAAAGUGAGUCUCGUGAGACUUUUUGCAUGUACCUUAUGAAUAAGGACCGGCUAAUUCCGUGCCAGCAGCCG
rnacentral:rRNA from 1 species